UACGUAGGGUGCGAGCGUUGUCCGGAAUUAUUGGGCGUAAAGAGCUUGUAGGUGGUUUGUCGCGUCUGCUGUGAAAGCCCGAGGCUCAACCUCGGAACUGCCUUCGAUACUGCGGGUCUCGAGUCCGGGAGAGGUGAGUGGAAUUCCUAGUGUAGAGGUGAAAUUCGUAGAUAUUAGGAAGAACACCAGUGGCGAAGGCGGCUCACUGGCCCGGUACUGACGCUGAGGCGCGAAAGCGUGGGGAGCAAACAGG
rnacentral:rRNA from 1 species